rnacentral:lncRNA from 1 species
UAGGAUUUGGUUUAGGAUUUAGGAUUUGGUUAAGGUUUAGAGUUAGGAUUUGACUAGGGUUUGAUUAGGGUUUUUUUAAGAUUUGACUAGGAUUUUUUUAGGAUUUAGAAUUGAUUAGGAUUUGUUAGGAUUAGGAUUUGUCUAAGAUUUGACCAGAGUAUGUUUAGGAUUUAGGAUUUGUCUAGGGUUUGAUUAAAGUUGGAUUAGGAUCAGGAUAUGGUUAGAAUUUAAGGUUUAUUUAGAUUUUUGUUAGGAUUUGACUAAGUUUUCUUUAAUAUUCUUUUAUAUUUCUUUAGGAUUUCCUUGUGUUUCUUUUAUAACUUCAAUAAAAUUUAAUUGAGCUUGCUUAAUAUUUGAUUAUGAUUGUUAACGUUUAAUUUUAAUUUCUCUAUAAUCCUAUUGGAUUGUUAGGACCUUUUUUUGCAAUUUUCUUUUACCUUCCAUAGCCAGGUGCCCGGUGCAUUCUCAAGCAAGACUUCACAUAAUACAACAACACUUAACAUUGAUACUUUUGACUUUGCUAUUAGAGAGGUCCAUCAACAAGACUUUGAUAAGGGCCUUCAACUUGUGGCAUAUGAAUUAUGCAAGCUCAAAAAAAUAGA